rnacentral:rRNA from 1 species
AUUGAACGCUGGCGGCAUGCCUUACACAUGUAAGUCGAACGGUAACAGGUCUUCGGAUGCUGACGAGUGGCGAACGGGUGAGUAAUACAUCGGAACGUGCCUAGUAGUGGGGGAUAACUACUCGAAAGAGUGGCUAAUACCGCAUGAGAUCUACGGAUGAAAGCAGGGGAUCGCAAGACCUUGUGCUACUAGAGCGGCCGAUGGCAGAUUAGGUAGUUGGUGGGAUAAAAGCUUACCAAGCCGACGAUCUGUAGCUGGUCUGAGAGGACGAUCAGCCACACUGGGACUGAGACACGGCCCAGACUCCUACGGGAGGCAGCAGAGGGGAAUUUUGGACAAUGGGCGCAAGCCUGAUCCAGCAAUGCCGCGUGCAGGAUGAAGGCCUUCGGGUUGUAAACUGCUUUUGUACGGAACGAAAAGCCCUGGGUUAAUACCCUGGGGUCAUGACGGUACCGUAAGAAUAAGCACCGGCUAACUACGUGCCAGCCGCCGCAGUAAGAC